rnacentral:tRNA from 1 species
GGGGGCGUGGCGAAAUUGGUAGACGCACUAGAUUUAGGUUCCAGCGCCGCAAGGUGUAAGAGUUCGAGUCUCUUCGCCCCCACCA